rnacentral:lncRNA from 1 species
GAAAACCACUCUGCUCAUUGCCCUCGAGUAGGCUGUGCCCUAAAGUUGCCCAAAUGUGCCCGAAGGUGCCCGAUAGAGCCCUGAAGCCAAGAAAAAAACAAGACGGUGCAUAGCAACCGUGUUACAAUAUUUGUUUAUAGUUUUACAAUCCUGUCAGCGUAAACGAGUAAAUCAAUUUCAUGUUUUUUAUUCUGGACGUUAUAGUUCUAGUGCUGCGGAAUUUGUUCAUUUCUUUGUUGGAAAAAAGAUAGAAUAAAUCUCGUAAAACCAAACACACUUGGAAUAAACCGUGGAAUAAACUUACUGGAAAAGUUUGUAAUUAUAUUCGAAGCUAGGAAAUCAAUCCCCCGAAGGAAGUAAUUCCGGUCCCGCCCUAGGUUCCUCUUAGGUCCCGAUCAGCCAAGCACCCAGCUCAUCCUGUUAACAAAUAACUCGGCGAUGACCCUGGCUGGUUCAAGAGUUGUUCCAUGUGGCCAAAAAUACGCCCUGUUUAUUGGGUAUUUCGACGAAAUGAUCACCUAUCGAUAUUUAUCAAUUCAAUAAAAUUUUAUGGAAAA